rnacentral:rRNA from 1 species
GCCAGUGGCAAUAGCACGUUGAAUACAACUUCCCGAUUGAUCACCGAAGUUAAGCAACGUUGCGCUUGAUUAGUAUCCGGAAGGGUGACCUAGUGGACAAUUGCGUGCUGCUGGCG